ACGCUCGACACCUACGGGGGCAGCAGUGGGGAAUAUUGCACAAUGGGGGAAACCCUGAUGCAGCGACGCCGCGUGAGCGAAGAAGUAUUUCGGUAUGUAAAGCUCUAUCAGCAGGGAAGAAACUGACGGUACCUGACUAAGAAGCACCGGCUAAAUACGUGCCAGCAGCCGCGGUAAUCUGAGCGGCUGGCAAGGC
rnacentral:rRNA from 1 species